rnacentral:rRNA from 1 species
ACUCCUACGGGGAGGCAGCAGUGGGGAAUAUUGCACAAUGGGCGCAAGCCUGAUGCAGCCAUGCCGCGUGUGUGAAGAAGGCCUUCGGUUGUAAAGCACUUUCAGUUGUGAGGAAGGUGGUGUCGUUAAUAGCGGCAUCAUUUGACGUUAGCAACAGAAGAAGCACCGGCUAACUCCGUGCCAGCAGCCGCGGUAAUACGGAGGGGUGCGAGCGUUAAUCGGAAUUACUGGGCGUAAAGCGCAUGCAGGUGGUUUGUUAAGUCAGAUGUGAAAGCCCGGGGCUCAACCUCGGAACUGCAUUUGAAACUGGCAGGACUAGAGUACUGUAGAGGGGGGUAGAAUUUCAGGUGUAGCGGUGAAAUGCGUAGAGAUCUGAAGGAAUACCGGUGGCGAAGGCGGCCCCCCUGGACAGAUACUGACACUCAGAUGCGAAAGCGUGGGGAGCG